AGGAGUGGAGACGGGAAGAGAGAAACCAUUCAGUGAGCAUCUACGAGACCGCAGGCACUGUGGCCGCCGCUGUACAUACGUCUCACGUCCAGCCACAUUAUGAGGUGAUGGUGACCGACAGUGAGAAAGGAUGAUCUUUUGAAUAAAGUGGACAUCCACCCAGAGAAAAUGAGUCUUGACCUCGGUCUCCACCCUAUCUAAGAAUCUAUUUCGAGUGGAUUUUAAAGCUAAAUGUGAAACAUACAACAUCCAGAAGAUAACAUCGGAGAAUAUAUCCAAAGCCUUGUAAUAGGCAAAGAAACAGGAUUCAAUAAGCAUUUUCCAUAGAGACAAAGAUUGACAGGUUGGACUGCACUAAAAUGAAGAACUGCUAUUCUUCAGAAGACACCCUGAAAAGAGUGAAAAGGCAAGCCACUGCGUGGGAGGAGAGAUUUGUAAUGUGCAUGUCCAACAGUGAACACACAUCCAGAAUAUUUUUUAAGCUCCUUCAAAUCAGUAAGAAAAAAGACAGAGGUUCCAACAGAAAACUGGAGAAAAGACUUGAACAGGCACUUUCCAAAAAGAUUAUCCAAACGGACAGUCAACAUAUGAAAGGGUGCUAACCCUCAUUAGUCACCAAGGAAAUGCAAAUGAAAGCCACAAUUAGAUAUCACAAUAGCUAUUGUCAAAUCUGUUGGGAAGGACGUGGAGCAACAGGUGUGCUCCUUCGUUUAUUUGAAGAGGGUGUACUGAUGUCACACUUCAGAAAAUCAUACAAUGGAAUCUACUAAAGCUAAUUAUAUAUAACUUUAUGACUCAGCAUUUGCAAACCUUAGGUGUUUACCCAACAGAAAAGUAUAUUAUAGUGUACCAAAAGACAUGCCUGAGAACAUCCACAGCAGUACCGUUCACGAUGACCGUCAACUGGCAACAACCCAAAUGUCCGUCAGUGAUAGAAUGGGUAUAGUCACACAAUGAAAUACCACACAGCAACGGGAGUGAACAGAAUAAGACUGCGUCCAAUAACACUGACAGAUCUCACCAUCAAAAUGCUGCUCCAAAGAAGUCAGCGUAAAAGAACACAUAAUCAAGGACUCCACGGACACAAAAGUCAAAACAGGCAACACUACUCAA